UACAGAGGUGGCAAGCGUUGUUCGGAAUUACUGGGCGUAAAGGGCGAGUAGGCGGCCUUCUAAGUCAGACGUGAAAUCCCCCGGCUUAACCUGGGAACUGCGUCUGAUACUGGGAGGCUAGAGUAUGGGAGAGGGAUGUAGAAUUCCAGGUGUAGCGGUGAAAUGCGUAGAUAUCUGGAGGAAUACCGGCGGCGAAGGCGGCAUCCUGGACCAUUACUGACGCUGAAUCGCGAAAGCUAGGGGAGCAAACGGG
rnacentral:rRNA from 1 species